rnacentral:lncRNA from 1 species
GUUUUACCAAUACUCCUUAUUGGUAACAAUCUCCCCCUUUUUGAUGAUGAUAAAAAAUUCUCUUUUUAAAAGCAACUCUGGUUUACCUGCAACACAUACAAGCUAAUAGACAACCAUAGAGUUAGCAGUACCUGUACAAGUGUAAAAUAUUUCUCCCCUAAAAUCUCCCCUUAUAUUUCUUCUCCCCCUUUUUGAUCAUAAGCAAAAAGAAUAAUUUAAAAAAAAUCUCCCCCUAAAUAUGAGCUCCCCCUCAAAAAUAUAAUAUAUGCAUAAAAAAGCUCAUUAUAUUAAGAACAGAAGGGAAUUACAAGAAAUUCAUAAAGAUCAAUACUAAGUACCACAAAGAAAAUAACAUAACAAUCAAACUUAGUGGCCUAAAACCUAGAAUUCAGGACUAGGGGAUCCUUCAAUAGGUGGGAUAUUUAGAUGACUCUUAAUGUUAGAUAGGCGAACAUUAAUUUCAUGAAAUUGAUCAACCACUUAAUCUAAAUGAGCUUGCUGUCACUCAUAAAUUUGAUCAAAGUAAGUUCUUUGGGCAAGACUUACAUCCUCCAGUUAUCACAAAAGUUCUCAAUCAAAAGCUUCACCCCCUCUUUUCAAAAAAUCAUCUAAAGUUUAUGCUCCCCAUAAAAUAGGUAAAUUAAAAAGGAUUUCCCGAAACUAUUCUACAGUAAAUUGACAGGCUAUAAAAAAUAAAAACUCUUGCCUUAGGUGUCGCUCGAUCAACCACCAC